AUUGAACGCUGGCGGCAUGCUUUACACAUGCAAGUCGAACGGUAACAGGGAGCUUGCUCCGCUGACGAGUGGCGAACGGGUGAGUAAUGCGUCGGAACGUGCCGAGUAGUGGGGGAUAACGCAUCGAAAGGUGUGCUAAUACCGCAUACGUACUGAGGUAGAAAGUGGGGGACCUUCGGGCCUCACGCUAUUCGAGCGGCCGACGUCUGAUUAGCUAGUUGGUGAGGUAAAGGCUCACCAAGGCGACGAUCAGUAGCGGGUCUGAGAGGAUGAUCCGGCACACUGGGACUGAGACACGGCCCAGACUCCUACGGGAGGCAGCAGUGGGGAAUUUUGGACAAUGGGCGCAAGCCUGAUCCAGCCAUGCCGCGUGUCUGAAGAAGGCCUUCGGGUUGUAAAGGACUUUUGUCCGGGAGCAAAUGCCUGGUGUUAAUAGCACUGGGAGCUGAGAGUACCGGAAGAAUAAGCACCGGCUAACUACGUGCCAGCCGCCGCAGUAAUAC
rnacentral:rRNA from 1 species